UAGGGAACCUGUCCUUGGGAAGCGGGAGGAAGGUUGGAUGACGUCAAGUCCUCAUGGCCCUUCCGGGUUGGGCUACCCACGUGCUACAAGGGCCGUGACAGUGCGUUAAUCCCAAAAAGCCUUCUCAGUUUGGUUCGGGGUAUGCACGUGCGACUCCAUGAAGUCGGACUCGCCUAGUAAGCUCGCAACUACAUGAUCGCUGU
rnacentral:rRNA from 1 species